AACGAACGCUGGCGGCGUGCCUAAUACAUGCAAGUCGUGCGAGAAAGCUUCCUUCGGGAAGUGAGUAGAGCGGCGCACGGGUGAGUAACACGUGGGUAAUCUACCCAGGAGUUUGGGAUAACCCGGGGAAACCCGGGCUAAUACCGAAUACGGCCUGACGGUCCUCGGACCGACAGGAGAAAGCAGGCCUCUUCUUGAAAGCUUGCGCCCCUGGAUGAGCCCGCGUCCCAUUAGCUUGUUGGUGAGGUAAGGGCUCACCAAGGCUCUGAUGGGUAGCUGAUCUGAGAGGAUGAUCAGUCACACUGGAACUGAGACACGGUCCAGACUCCUACGGGAGGCAGCAGUGAGGAAUUUUGCGCAAUGGGCGAAAGCCUGACGCAGCGACGCCGCGUGGAGGAAGAAGGUCUUCGGAUUGUAAACUCCUGUCAAGUGGGACGAAGUCGGUCUGGAUGAAUAAGCCGGGCCGUUGACGGUACCACUGGAGGAAGCCCCGGCUAACUCCGUG
rnacentral:rRNA from 1 species